UCCUACGGGAGGCAGCAGUGGGGAAUAUUGCACAAUGGGGGAAACCCUGAUGCAGCCAUGCCGCGUGUGUGAAGAAGGCCUUCGGGUUGUAAAGCACUUUCAGUUGUGAGGAAAAGUUAGUAGUUAAUACCUGCUAGCCGUGACGUUAACAACAGAAGAAGCACCGGCUAACUCCGUGCCAGCAGCCGCGGUAAUACGGAGGGUGCGAGCGUUAAUCGGAAUUACUGGGCGUAAAGCGCACGCAGGCGGUUUGUUAAGCUAGGUGUGAAAGCCCCGGGCUCAACCUGGGAUGGUCAUUUAGAACUGGCAGACUAGAGUCUUGGAGAGGGGAGUGGAAUUCCAGGUGUAGCGGUGAAAUGCGUAGAUAUCUGGAGGAACAUCAGUGGCGAAGGCGACUCCCUGGCCAAAGACUGACGCUCAUGUGCGAAAGUGUGGGUAGCGAACAGGAUUAGAUACCCUGGUAGUCCACACCGUAAACGCUGUCUACUAGCUGUGUGUGUCUUUAAGACGUGCGUAGCGAAGCUAACGCGCUAAGUAGACCGCCUGGGGAGUACGGCCGCAAGGUUAAAACUCAAAUGAAUUGACGG
rnacentral:rRNA from 1 species